GGUUAAGCUAGUAAGAGCACACGGAGGAUGCCUAGGCGCCAGGAGCCGACGAAGGACGUGGCGAACGACGAUAUAGCCUCGGGGAGCUGUAAGCAAGCAUCGAUCCGGGGAUGUCCGAAUGGGGAAACCCGGCUGUCAUAAUAGGCAGUCACUCGCACCUGAAUCUAUAGGGUGUGAAGAGGCAUACGAGGGGAACUGAAACAUCUAAGUACCCUCAGGAAGAGAAAACAAUAGUGAUUCCGUCAGUAGCGGCGAGCGAACGCGGAAGAGCCUAAACCGGAGAGCUUGCUCUCCGGGGUUGUGGGACGUCUCACAUGGAGUCAGAAAGGUGUUUAUUAGACGAAGAGUCCUGGAAAGACUCGCCGUAGAAGGUAAUAGCCCUGUACUCGAAAGUAAAUGCCCUCCGAGACGGAUCCCGAGUACCGCGGGACACGUGAAACCCCGUGGGAAUCCGGCAGGACCAUCUGCUAAGGCUAAAUACUCCCUGGCGACCGAUAGUGAAGCAGUACCGUGAGGGAAAGGUGAAAAGCACCCCGGAAGGGGAGUGAAAUAGAACCUGAAACCGUGUGCUUACAAGAAGUCAGAGCCCUAUGAUGAAACUUGUUUUCAUCAGGGUGAUGGCGUGCCUUUUGUAGAAUGAACCGGCGAGUUACGUUUACGUGCAAGGUUAAGGUGAAAAGCCGUAGCCGCAGCGAAAGCGAGUCUGAAUAGGGCGAAAGUAUAUGCUUACGAAGUAGCAAUACUUCGUAUUGCUUUUAGUACGUAGACGUAGACCCGAAACCGAGUGAUCUACCCCUGUCCAGGGUGAAGGUGCGGUAACACGCACUGGAGGCCCGAACCCACGAAUGUUGAAAAAUUCGGGGAUGAGGUGGGGGUAGCGGAGAAAUUCCAAUCGAACUCGGAGAUAGCUGGUUCUCCCCGAAAUAGCUUUAGGGCUAGCCUCGGAGGAAGAGUCGUGGAGGUAGAGCACUGAUUGGGUGCGGGGCCCGCCAAGGGUUACCAAGCUCAGUCAAACUCCGAAUGCCAUGGACUUAUUAUCCGGGAGUCAGACAAUGGGUGCUAAGGUCCGUUGUCAAGAGGGAAACAGCCCAGACCAUCAGCUAAGGCCCCUAAGUGUACGUUAAGUGGGAAAGGAUGUGGAGUUGCCCAGACAACCAGGAUGUUGGCUUAGAAGCAGCCACCAUUUAAAGAGUGCGUAAUAGCUCACUGGUCGAGUGACUCUGCGCCGAAAAUGUAACGGGGCUAAACGUACCGCCGAAGCUAUGGAUUGCAUCGACUUCACUGCUUCUUUGAAGAGUGAGUGAAGACCCGCCUGAGAUUUUGUCGACAUCCGAAGUGAUACCACUUGUCGACCAAAUGACCUCAGGGGCUAAACGAAUACUUCGAAGCUGGAGUGAAGUCGAUGCAGUGGUAGGGGAGCGUUGUGUACCGGGUUGAAGGUAGACCGGAAGGACUGCUGGACUGUACACAAGUGAGAAUGCCGGUAUGAGUAACGAAAAGACAUGUGAGAAUCAUGUCCGCCGAAAGCCUAAGGGUUCCUGGGGAAGGCUCGUCCGCCCAGGGUAAGUCGGGACCUAAGGCGAGGCCGAAAGGCGUAGUCGAAGGACAACAGGUUGAAAUUCCUGUACCACCGCAGCCGUUAUGAGCGAUGGGGGGACGCAGAAGGAUAGGGACGCGAGCCGAUGGAUGUGCUCGUCCAAGCAGUGAGGCUGGUCAGUAGGCAAAUCCGCUGACCGUAAGGCUGGACUGUGAUGGGGAGGGAAAAUAACAGUACCGAAGGUCUUGAUUUCAUGCUGCCAAGAAAAGCCUCUAGCCAGGUGAAGGUGCCCGUACCGCAAACCGACACAGGUAGGCGAGAAGAGAAUUCUAAGGCGCGCGGAAGAACUCUCGUUAAGGAACUCGGCAAAAUGACCCCGUAACUUUGGGAGAAGGGGUGCCCCGGUAGGGUGAAUAGCCCGAGGGGGCCGCAGUGAAUAGGCCCGAGCGACUGUUUAGCAAAAACACAGGUCUGUGCGAAGCCG
rnacentral:ncRNA from 1 species